AUGUACAGAUGAUUCGGGGACUCACCCAAGGGGAUCGGUGAUUGGUGCCCUGGAUCAUCAGCAUUUUUCAAGAUGACCAUUUGGAAACAACAUUUGGAGGAACAUUUGGGUUGCAUCCUCUAACUAAAUUUCCAAGCUGUUGGUAACGGACUAAAGAAAAUGUGGUCUGCACUGAAUACUAAAGAGCUGCAAAUAGUAGUCCCAUAGUGGCAAUGGAGCACAGUGGAAAUAAAAGGCAAGAGACACAUGCCAAGGAUGAAGUGUGUUCUAGAAGGGAUGAACCUGCAUCCCUCACCUGCAAAUAUGACCAAGGGUGAUCCUAUGGUGGCUGAAAUACAGUCCAGCUGGAGAAGAGAGCAAAAAGCAUAUUCAGAAGUCUAAAAAAUUAAUUGCUCUGUGUGGAAGGACUGAAUGAUUGAGGAUUGUCUAACCUAAACAAGGGUCUUAAAGAAGAUAAUGUGGCUUUUCAACUACAUGAGAAACACUGUUCCAAAGAAAAGGAUAUCAAGGAAAUGCUUUCCUAUGUUUCUGAGGAAAGAAGUACCAACAAGCUUCAAUUAUGGGACUUCAUUUUAUUUCUGCCCAUGGGAUCCCACUUCAAUUGCAGCUGUUUGAAUUAACAUUAACUUGCUGCAUCUCCUGUCUGAGGAAAGUGCAAGUGCUGUCAUGGCCAGGAGAACAAACAGAUACCUGAUACAUUACUUCAUCAGCAAAUUCAACAAGGCCAAGAUGUCUUCAUUUUCCUUCAGAGCAAGAGCAGUAAGAGCAGUGCGGUGGAAGCAUUGGUCUUCUGUGGCCAGCCGGCGAGAACCCAUCAACAGCUGUGAUGAGCAGAGCAGACAUGGGAGACAGGAGGCAGCUGAAGCCAAAGAGGACCCACGCCUGGAGCUGUGUCUGUGUGAUUGGAGCAGAGAGAGGCCAGGACCCAAGGAAAUCCCAGCAGCAAGGGAAAAAAACAGAUUGACUCUCAGUGACUCAUUUAGCUCCUGGAUUGGACAGAUCUCUCCCCUGCUGGCAAUUUGGCUGAGCAUCAAUAGACAGAUACCAGGAUGAAUAGCUUAAAAUAAUUAGGGGUUGGGAAUUUGCAAAACUGCUAGCCAUCCAAUUCUUUACUGUGCAAUGCGAGGCAGAAAAAAGAAAUUACAUUUAGGUUAUUAAAUAUUAAGUCAGUGGAUUUACUUCCAUUUGGUGCAGAACAGGAAACUGGCUAAAAUUCAACAUUUAUAUCAUUGUGUUGAUGGUCUGUUUAUCACUGAGCAAGUAAGUGCCUUUUGGCAGGUCAAGCUCUUUGACACAUGGGGCAAAUGUGUGCUUAAUUUCUCCCAAACAGAAGAAUUAAUAUAAUAAUAAUUAACAUAGAUGAGAACAGAAUUAAAAUCAAGUGCAGUCAGGAGUUCAGUUUAAUGCCAGGUGUCUCACAUUCUAGAUGUUCUGGGGCCAGAUUUUUCCUGUUGAAGGUAGCAGGGGUUUUGCCUUUGGCACUUACGGGAGCUGAAGUGGGCCUUGGAUGUAAAGAGACAGGAUUCCCAGUACUUUCUAUUUAAUGCAUAAAACCAGAAGCAACAGGCUCAUUUAGUAGCAGAAAAGGUCAGUUAAAAUUAUAGAGACAUCCUUUGGAGCAAAUCCUCUACCUUGUAUUUGCAUAUUUAUGAAUUAGAGAUUACGACAGGCUAUUUCAUUUAUUAGAGCAGCACUGCUAUAGUUAAUAGUGUGUCAGUAUUUCCAUUAUAAACCCCGUUUUGCAGUGUUUAAUAUCUCAGCCAGUUAAAAUCACAUCAGGAAGCAUGUUGGUCUUAUGUUGCUGGCCAGGUGCAAUUUUUUUGUUAUGGAUUAUUUUCAAUAAUGAAAUACUGCUCAUCAUAUAUGCAGAUGAGCCACAGCAUUUCUGUUGGAGGGACAUAGCAAGGUGCGUAGAUCCAUUGUGCCUUUGUUUUUCUUUAGGAAAGAAGGGAUAAGAGGGAUUUGACCAAUCCUGUCAGCUGUGGCCUUGUGUUUGAAGAACACUUUUUCAAGCAACUGCUGUCAAAGGAAACACUGGUUUUCAGUGGGAAAUCAGGUUGCUGUCUGCUUGCCAGUGGUGACCAAGGUAAACAGGGUUGACUGGUAUAAAAAAAAUGCUCACCUCGACCUUCUUUAUUGCUACAUGGAGGAAGCUCACUACAGAAAAGAGUACAGUUGUACUCUUUUCUACUGCUCGAGAUUUACUUGUGUCCCUGGUGUGUUGUGAUAAGCCUCUGAAUGUCACUGCUGUGAAGGUUUUGUUCUUCCCAAAGACUCUCCUGAGGUUCAGU